rnacentral:rRNA from 1 species
GUGCCAGCAGCCGCGGUAAUACGGAGGGUGCGAGCGUUGUUCGGAAUUACUGGGCGUAAAGCGCGUGUAGGCGGCCUUCUAAGUCUGGUGUGAAAGCCCGGGGCUCAACCCCGGAAGUGCAUUGGAUACUGGGAGGCUGGAGUACCGGAGAGGAGGGUGGAAUUCCUGGUGUAGCGGUGAAAUGCGUAGAUAUCAGGAGGAACACCGGUGGCGAAGGCGGCCCUCUGGACGGAUACUGACGCUGAGACGCGAAAGCGUGGGGAGCAAACAGGAUUAGAUACCCGGGUAGUCC